UGUGUCGACGGAUCGACACGCCCUUCAAGGAAGAGGGGAAAGGACAUCGCAGGAUGCGAUUCAUCAGGACGAUGAAAAGGAUUACAGGGAAUAGGGAAAUAUGUGGGCGGGUCAAACCGCCCCUUUUUUU
rnacentral:sRNA from 1 species